GAAAUGCGAUAAGUAAUGUGAAUUGCAGAAUUCAGUGAUUCAUCGAAUCUUUGAACGCACAUUGCGCCCCCUGGUAUUCCGGGGGGCAUGCCUGUUCGAGCGUCAUUUCACCACUCAAGCCUCGCUUGGUAUUGGGCGACGCGGUCCGCCGCGCGCCUCAAAUCGACCGGCUGGGUCUUUCGUCCACUCAGCGUUGUGGAAACUAUUCGCUAAAGGGUGCCGCGGGAGGCCACGCCGUAAAACAACCCCAUUUCUAAGGUUGACCUCGGAUCAGGUAGGGAUACCCGCUGAACUUAAGC
rnacentral:misc_RNA from 1 species